CGCCCUCGGGCCUGCGCCUCCGAACGCUUGAACACAAAGGUGGCUCCUUGGGGGCGUCAGCCGGGGUUAGGCGGGUCUCCCCACGCAGGAGAGGUGCCCAGAGCGGUUGCCCCCGACUUUCGGGGCGAGACACACGGGGAUCUAAGUCACAAAUCAGUAACUCCGGGCUGCACUACGCACCGGGACAAAUCUGAGAGCCACCCAGUCCCAGACACCAGCGGUGAGGCAGAAAGAGGAGAAGCAAAAGCUGGAAAAGGAAACCUUCAGGAAAACAAACAGGCCGCGUUGGCACCGGCGCCCUCCCAGGUUCAGAACUGAAGGAUAAACAUGAAAAGCAAAGUUGGAAGGAUGAAAAUACAAGCGUUCUCGGUGGUUAAGAGGAUGUGGCUUACGUCCAAGGCCACAUUGGAGCAACAUACUCCUUUCCAUCUGUAUUCGUCAUCAAUUGCCACAUAACAAAUUGCCCCAGGAUUUAACAGCUAAGAACAGUAAACAUUCGUUAUUUCA